rnacentral:rRNA from 1 species
AAUUAGGUGAAGUCAAUGAUCCCAUGCUGCCAAGAAAAGCCUCUAGCGAGCUUCGAGCGGCCCGUACCCCAAACCGACACAGGUGGUCAGGUAGAGAAUACCGAGGCGAUCGGGCGAACUGUGGUUAAGGAACUCGGCAAAUUACCCCCGUAACUUCGGGAGAAGGGGGGCCACAGACUGUCAUACCCCACGCGGGUGGCAGCAGUAGGUGGCCGCAGAGACCAGGGGGAAGCGACUGUUUACUAAAAACACAGGUCCGUGCGAAGUCGUAAGACGAUGUAUACGGACUGACGCCUGCCCGGUGCUGGAACGUUAAGGGGACCGGUUAGUCCGCAAGGGCGAAGCUGAGAACUUAAGCGCCAGUAAACGGCGGUGGUAACUAUAACCAUCCUAAGGUAGCGAAAUUCCUUGUCGGGUAAGUUCCGACCUGCACGAAUGGCGUAACGACUUCCCUACUGUCUCAACCACAGGCCCGGCGAAAUUGCACUACGAGUAAAGAUGCUCGUUACGCGCGGAAGGACGGAAAGACCCCGGGACCUUCACUAUAGCUUGACAUUGGUAUCCGAAUUUAAUUGUGUAGGAUAGGUGGGAGGCUUUGAUCCGCGGACGCCAGUCCGUCGGGGAGCCAACGUUGAAAUACCACUCUGUUGAAUUUGGGUAUCUAACUUCGGACCGUGAUCCGGUUCAGGGACAGUGUCUGGUGGGUAGUUUAACUGGGGCGGUUGCCUCCUAAAAUGUAACGGAGGCGCCCAAAGGUUCCCUCAGCCUGGUUGGCAAUCAGGUGUUGAGUGCAAGUGCACAAGGGAGCUUGACUGUGAGACUGACAGGUCGAGCAGGGACGAAAGUCGGGACUAGUGAUCCGGCACCUGCGAGUGGAAGCGGUGUCGCUCAACGGAUAAAAGGUACCCCGGGGAUAACAGGCUGAUCUUCCCCAAGAGUCCAUAUCGACGGGAUGGUUUGGCACCUCGAUGUCGGCUCGUCGCAUCCUGGGGCUGGAGUAGGUCCCAAGGGUUGGGCUGUUCGCCCAUUAAAGCGGCGCGCGAGCUGGGUUUAGAACGUCGUGAGACAGUUCGGUCCCUAUCCUCCGCGCGCGUAGGAGACUUGAGAAGAGCUGUCCCUAGUACGAGAGGACCGGGACGGACGAACCUCUGGUGUGCCAGUUGUCAUGCCAAUGGCACGGCUGGUUAGCUACGUUCGGAAGGGAUAACCGCUGAAAGCAUCUAAGCGGGAAGCUCGCUUCAAGAUGAGGUCUCCCACCCCUUCGAGGGUUAAGGCCCCCAGCUAGACCACUGGGUUGAUAGGCCAGAAGUGUAAGCCUGGUAACAGGUUCAGCCGACUGGUACUAAUAGGCCGAGGACUUCACCAC